ensembl:miRNA
UAUUAGUUUGAUGUAAAAAUAAUUGUGGUUUUUGCAGUUAAUAUAGGUAACGGCAAAAAUCGCAAUUACUUUUGCACCAAACUAAUAUA